GUGCUUGCACUUGCUGACGACCGGCGCACGGGUGCGUAACGCGUAUAGAACCUACCUUUUACUGAGGGAUAGCCUUUAGAAAUGAAGAUUAAUACCCCAUAGUAUUUUAUUUUGGCAUCAAUUUAAAAUUAAAGAUUUAUCGGUAAAAGAUGGCUAUGCGUCUUAUUAGCUAGAUGGUAAGGUAACGGCUUACCAUGGCCACGAUAAGUAGGGGCCCUGAGAGGGGGAUCCCCCACACUGGUACUGAGACACGGACCGGACUCCUACGGGAGGCAGCAGUGAGGAAUAUUGGUCAAUGGAGGCAACUCUGAACCAGCCAUGUCGCGUGCAGGAAGACUGCCCUAUGGGUUGUAAACUGCUUUUAUACAGGAAGGAACGCACCUACGUGUAGGUGUUUGACGGUACUGUAAGAAUAAGCACCGGCUAACUCCGUGCCAGCAGCCGCGGUAAUACGGAGGGUGCAAGCGUUAUCCGGAAUCAUUGGGUUUAAAGGGUCCGCAGGCGGUCAAUUAAGUCAGAGGUGAAAUCCCACAGCUCAACUGUGGCACUGCCUUUGAUACUGGUUGACUUGAGUUAUACGGAAGCAGAUAGAAUAAGUAGUGUAGCGGUGAAAUGCAUAGAUAUUACUUAGAAUACCGAUUGCGAAGGCAGUCUACUACGUAUAUACCGACGCUCAUGGACGAAAGCGUGGGGAGCGAACAGGAUUAGAUACCCUGGUAGUCCACGCCGUAAACGAUGGACACUAGUUGUUGGGUUUAGGUUCAGUGACUAAGCGAAAGUGAUAAGUGUCCCACCUGGGGAGU
rnacentral:rRNA from 1 species